AAGUGAUGCUCGGUUAGAGGUCGUCGGGUCUACCCCGACGCUAAGAGGGAAUUCGGUUAAGCCGAAGCUGCCCCCGCAACUGUAAGCGGCGAGCCAUCCUCCACCUGUGUCACUGGGGAAACCUGGGAAGACGGAUGGAUGGCCCAGACCCGCGAGCCAGGAGACCUGCCUUUAGUCGAAGAAUAUC
rnacentral:ncRNA from 1 species